CUCUUGUGCAGGUUGUCCAGAGCCAGUAACUAUUUCUGAAGAAUUCGUAACAAAUUGAGUGCUAUUCAUUUGUGUUCCGUAGAUUGGUUUCCAUGGUAAAACAAAGUCACUCUCAAAUAAUUGGAUAAACAUUCCAAAAUAUUUUUCCAGUAAUUUUUAUGAAAAAGCUCACAGGACCAGAGCCUUAGAACAGAGAUAUAGGCUUACUUUAUGCACAAAAGCGAAAAUGGGUGGGUUCCUUCAGGAGCAUAAUUUCUAAAAGUGGGAUUGUUAGACCUACAAAAUCCAAACAUUAAUUGUGAGAGAAUGAACGGUCAAAAAGCUACUAAGGAUCCCUCUGCAUAAUUUACAAUGUCUAAAUGGCUUGGUUGACCCGCCUUUAUGUGUAGAUUUUCUGGCUCUUAUGUUUAACAUUGUAUGCCAUUGAAUCAUAUGAUAAAAUCAAUCAUUUUUCAGUCUCAAAA